rnacentral:rRNA from 1 species
AUUGAACGCUGGCGGCAGGCCUAACACAUGCAAGUCGAACGGUAACAGGAAGCAGCUUGCUGCUUUGCUGACGAGUGGCGGACGGGUGAGUCAUGUCUGGGAAACUGCCUGAUGGAGGGGGAUAACUACUGGAAACGGUAGCUAAUACCGCAUAACGUCGCAAGCCCAAAGAGGGGGACCUUAGGGCCUCUUGCCAUCGGAUGUGCCCAGAUGGGAUUAGCUAGUAGGUGGGGUAACGGCUCACCUAGGCGACGAUCCCUAGCUGGUCUGAGAGGAUGACCAGCCACACUGGAACUGAGACACGGUCCAGACUCCUACGGGAGGCAGCAGUGGGGAAUAUUGCACAAUGGGCGCAAGCCUGAUGCAGCCAUGCCGCGUGUAUGAAGAAGGCCUUCGGGUUGUAAAGUACUUUCAGCGGGGAGGAAGGGAGUAAAGUUAAUACCUUUGCUCAUUGACGUUACCCGCAGAAGAAGCACCGGCUAACUCCGUG